rnacentral:lncRNA from 1 species
GCCUGCGGAGGUAUCCAGCAAACCCUCCCUACCCUCGCUGAAGAAAGAGACUCUGCUAUUCCACGUUCUCACACUACCCAGAAGAGACUUGCUACAGGCCUCGCACAACGCUAAGGACAGUCGGUGCACUAUCUCCUGUGAUGCUCUCUGAGACGCUAUAAGGAAGGCACUGUAACCAUCCGAGUAGAGAAAAGGAGAGUGCAGCUCGGACAGCAACUUCAUAGAACGAGACAUAAGGAAAGGUUGCCGUGCCAGGCCCUCGGUCUGCAUCCGUGUCACGCUGCGCUCAAAGCCGAGCUCUUCUGCUGUGGCUCUAGAAGGGAAGAAUUUACACAUGCUGUGGCCCAUUCCUGAGCAUCCACGAAGACUGCCUCUAAGAAACGCAGAGCGCCCAAGAGGUCUCCUUCAGUUCCAACAAAAAAGAGAACCGAAACACAUCCCCGGGAGUGGUAAAUGGCUGCCUCAAAGUGAAAUACAGAAUCGGAAACAAAAGUCCAGCCAAACUGUCACACGGUCCAUUCACAGCUACGGGGGAAACUUGUUGGAAAAAAAAAUGCACAACUAUCACCACCACCACCACCCCUCGCAACACACCCACGUUUCCUGCUGUUCUGUUUUUUUGGGGGGCUGCGCAGGGCGCGCCCGAGAGACAGUUGGAGAGGCAGCAGGUCGAGGCUGCAUUUGGCUCCGCGGUCGGCCUGUUAAAUAAUGCAAUAAAACAACAAGCGCGAUCCUCGCGGGCGGCGCUCCCACGCCUGUCCUGCGGGCCCAGGCCGGCUGCGGAGACCCGAAAGCUUCACGUCGAGCCGAGGCG